AUUUACAUGCAUCACAUUAUUGUGCGGUGUGCCCCUUUAAGAGACUGAUCACGUCAUUUCUGAUGCGUGCUAUGCGUGAUGACGUUGUUGAGUUGAGCGUGAGUAAGAUCCACCGUAGACGCUAAGCGUGCUCUACCCUCUUUCUAUACUUUUGUUUUGUUAGUUUUAUUUUGUGACGCUAAGAAAGAGUAAUCUCUCAUGUGUGAGAGGAUUGCGUUGCUUGUGUUACCUGCCAUUAAAUGUGCGUGAUACAGCCUUUACGCCUCUAACCUCUUUCUUCCAUUGACUUUGUGAGAGCUAUCCUGGUCAAAGCGUUACAACCUGAUGGCAGAGCUGAGAAUGGGAAGCGAUGACCUGACAAGAGCUAAGAGGAUACAGCUGGAAAAGGAGGUCAGAGACCAAGCAUUUUCAAACCAAUUCCUUACUAUUCUGCAAAGAAUGUGACGCAGCGAGGUCUGGACAUUAUACAUUUUUUUCCUGAACAACAACAUAGGGUUCAUAAAUGUACGCAGGAUGUACGGUCAAAGGUCAUAAUCAUAAACCCGGCAGGGGGUAAUCAAUUAUGGGUAAUAAAUUACGUUUGACACA